UGGGGAAUUUUGGACAAUGGGGGCAACCCUGAUCCAGCCAUUCCGCGUGAGUGAAGAAGGCCUUCGGGUUGUAAAGCUCUUUCAGCAGGAACGAAACGGUGGUCCCUAAUACGGGCUACUAAUGACGGUACCUGAAGAAGAAGCACCGGCUAACUACGUGCCAGCAGCCGCGGUAAUACGUAGGGUGCGAGCGUUAAUCGGAAUUACUGGGCGUAAAGCGUGCGCAGGCGGUUAUAUAAGACAGAUGUGA
rnacentral:rRNA from 1 species